UAUGGUUAGAGGUCAUUAUCGAAGGAUUUGGGCCGCCGGUAAAGGGUGAGGAAAUAAAAUUAAACAUUUAGGAGGGUGAUUCUCCCUUUCGAGUGACAGAAGCCAGAGACACCUUUAGAAGCAUUUAGAACCUUUCUUCUUUGAAACCCUUCUUCGAGUGUGCACAUCUCUUCCUUCACAGAGUCUCGACUAUUUGGAGUACUCAUUCGUUCAGUGCGUGUGAGGUAUCGGAUUCCUACGGCUGUUAGUGGAUGGUCGUCCAAUCCACCAUCGUUCGCGGCCAGUGGAAAGUGUAUCCCUGUCCGUCUUUUUCCCCCAUUUUUGGAAUAAACUGAGUCGAAUUUGUGAUUGGUGACUCAAACCUCAGGAAAAAUCCCAAACCCCUGUUGCAUUGUGAUGCGUGAAAGACGAAUCUUGAAUUGGAAUUCUGAGAAGGUCAAACCCGCUGCUGAGGAGGUCGAGUAGGUGGUGGCUUGCUUUUGCUGCUCCUGUUAAUUUAACCAAUGUGCAGGUCUUUCAUUAUAUAAUUAAGGACUAUGAAGAAGAAGAAGAAGAUAGCCCUAUGUUUUUCCUUGGAUGAAUUAAUUGUUUUGGAUUAUAAUAAUAUGGUGCAGACUCUUCAUAAAUUUUGGAGUAAUUCUUGCUUAUUUGUUGCUUUUUUGGCUAGAACCAAUGUGCAGGUCUUUCAUUAUAUAAUUAAGGACUAUGAAGAAGAAGAAGAAGAUAGCCCUAUGUUUUUCCUUGGAUGAAUUAAUUGUUUUGGAUUAUAAUAAUAUGGUGCAGACUCUUCAUAAAUUUUGGAGUAAUUCUUGCUUAUUUAUAUGACUUGUUGUCAUAGAUGAAGGUUCAAUGGUUAGUGGAAUUUCCAGUAGAAGGCAUCUCAUAGGCUUUCUGAGAUGUUUCGAGAAGCAAGGAUACCAGGAGUACGCCCGUACUGGAUUGGGGAGCAAAUCUGGACCUCUUUACUAGAGCACUAGAAUUCGCCACAGUACGGGCAAAGUGUACAAUCGCCCAGAAGAAUCGGUCUUCAGAAAGGGGCGGUGUUCUCCAUACAGGUGGAUCAAUCACCAUACAUGAACAUGUCAUGCGUAUGGAAGCUGAGUUGGGACGAUCUGUGCAUGUUGAUGAAGUUUUCCACCAAACUCAUAUUCGCAAGGGAACUACUGACCAGUUCGUUGAUGAAAGGUCUCGAAAGACACAUGAUGAAUUCUCCACAAAAAUUUCAUGGGUCAGAUCCUCACAUUCUUCAUGUCCUCAGUCAACCCAACCAACAGAUGAUGGCGAAGACCUUAUUAGGUCACAAUGUUAGAUUGACAUUGUUGGUGGAAAGAAAAAAGGAAGAACCUAUGGGGUAUGGCAACUGACUGCAAAUUACAGUGCAGGUCGUGUUGGUCUAAAGCACCAACCUUCUUCCUCCCAACGUCCUGAUGAGACCGUUCAUGCCCUGACGCAGCGACUUCAAACAUGUGACCGAGAAUAUAAUGAACUCAGACAAGAGUUUACCAAUUUUAAAGAAUUGGUCAUGAGAUUGCUUCCUCAAUUUGCAGUGCCUCCGGCCUCUCAUUCGCAGCCCACACCAGUCCAGCCUACUGAAGUUCAACCCACACAUGUCCAACCCAUACCAGUCCAGACCCCAUCAGUCCAGUCCCCAUCUGUCCAGCCAACUUCAGAGCCUCAAAACAAUGAACAGGAAGACAAUCACCAAGCUGAACAUUAUGACGACUAUUAGAUUUUAUGACUUUGCACAUUACUUACAUUAUUAUUACUUCUUUUCCUUCUAAGAACAAUUUUAUAUUUAGACCUAUAUUGGUUAGUGAAGUUCUGUUUUGUUUAUCAAUUAGAAAAUUUUAGACAUUAUAUAUAUAUAUAUAUAUAUAUAUAUAUAUAUAUAUGUUUACUUGGAAUGUGUUUACAUUGUUUGGAGUUUGCGUUGAUUGGAGUUGACUCCACUUGGUGAAUGUUGGAUUGUAUUUUGAGUUGGAUGUUGGUAUUGAAUUG